AGAAUCUCUGCAGCUUGGGUAGAAAGACGGAUGACCAGUGCUCUCUACUCUGCCAUCUUCUGAUAAUUCUCUCUGCCAAGUUAUCUCUUUGUGUUAAUAUUGGGAGAAAACAGGUGCAUAACGAGGGGCCACUGUUCCCGAAAGGUCUCUGGGAUCUGGGUGCUGAGAAGACUUAUCAAAUCCAUCACCACCAGACCAAGUCAGAGUGCCAGACGAGCCAAAAGAUCCAGAGGCUGAUGCCAGUGAAGGCCUCGCAGUCAUUGCUCUGCUUUACCCAGUGAGAUCAGCCAUCGUCGUCUGGAGAACUGGGCUAAAAUAUUUCAGGUAUUGAAGUACCAUGUCAAACGGUAGCUUGGCUGCUCCCAAUGCAUUUCUUUCUAGCCCACUGCCAACUGACUGAAAAGACUCAAGAUUCAAAACUCUAAUGUGUCCGACACCCCAGGGUGGGUAAGUCACUCUGAACAAAGAACAUGCCGGUUCAUCUUCGCCUAGCGCCAGGCACAGCUGGAGGGAAGAAAAGGAAACCCAUUUUAAAGCAUUUUAAAUCUACUCUCUAUUCCAGACUGUGAAGCCGCUCGGUUUAGGAUCUGAAAUAUGCUUACUUUAACCCAUCUUUGUUGACACAGCCACAAACUUCAGCAAAUACUGAAGCCAGACUCAACCAGAGUUCUUAUAAACUUUCGUGUGUGAGCAAAAUCCCCCCUUCAUUUUGCCUAAUGUUCAUCUGCUGUAAUUUUUGCCAAGUUCUAAAAAGGAAAUCUUCAAGCAUUUUCUAUUCUAUAUUUUACAGUUAAAAAAAAGCCAAUUGGACAGCACUCUCCCAUUUCAAGCACUAGUAAAUGUUGCCUCUUCCUUUUCUCAAAAGGCUUUUUUUCCAACAGUCAUCAUUUGUAUUAUAUUUCACAGGCCUCCUAACCCACGGGACCUUCUCUGGCUACCAAAGUAUUCAGAAUUAUAGGACCUGCACCUGCAGAGGAAAAACAAACAGAAGCCAAAGCUUUAGGUUGUGGGACAAGGAAGAUCAUGUUUUUCAAAGAGCCCUAUGUGUGUGCACACUCGGCUGUCCUUAUAUCAGGAGUCACGCUCUUUGCUAGUAUUCUAAGCCUUUUAUUCCUCAUAUUAUAAUUGACCACAUUUGGCUGAUUUCUGGGAAAUUCUUUGCACAUCAGCAUCCUUGUCAAUCAAUCUAGGUAUUACCUCUCUCUACUGGAAAGCUUAGUAGUUGGCUCUUCCCUUCUUAGAUGCAGCCUCCCUAACCAUGUAUUCAACACCCUGCACAGCCUGGUCUCAUGAGCCUAAGUCCAAAGACCUGUUCCCUCUCCACUCUCCUCUCCUAGUAGGGAUAUGGUCCUGACUACCUAUCCUCAAAUAUUCCCUCCUGUACUAUAUCAAGUCUAACUCUCUCUCUCUCUCUCUCUC